ensembl:lncRNA
UAAGCAACUCUUCAGGUAAAUCUGGAUUCCCAGCUUCAAGAAUGACAAGAGUGUACCUGGUUUCUUGACAAUCAGUAAGCUUUGGCUGACAAGAAAGACGUGCAAAGACAAGAUCCUCUCUUUAUUUUCAAAGAUGCCAAAACCCUCGGAUGUGAUGAGAACCAUGCCAGUAUACCAGCAACACCAGUAUGAAGUCUCCAGGUUCCUGACGACCAAGCCACUGGCUCUGGGGAUUUUGGAAAUAUUGCUAGCCUUAUUAGGACUCUGUUUGACAAUCUGGAAUGAGAUUUUUUCUCUUUUCUGGUCACCAAUCAGCUUCACUUUAACUGGAGUUAUUACAGUCUACGCAGCAAACACAUGUAAACCAUGUCUGGUCAAAUCCUCACAAAUGCUCAGCUUUUUAAAUGCAGCAGCUGCUGCUCUGUCUCUCCACUUUCACUUUUAUUACACUGGGGGUGUAUCCUGCUUUCUUCUUAUGGCCUGUGAUACUCUCAUCGUAAUCUUCUCUGUUACGGUUGCUUUAACCUCUUUUUCCUGUUGCUGCAGACCAAAGUCGAGACAUGUCGAGGUCAGUUGCAUGAACACAGAUUUGCCUGUCAACCAUAUUGUGCUAAUGGGUCAGCCGGACUCUUCUACAGUGUUACAGUCCGUUAGUUCAGUCAUGUACAUGCUGCCAGCAGCACAUGGCCUUGUCCCACCUGCGCCUCUGCCAAAUUACAGUCCAGUACCAACUCUUCCUCCACCACCCUACGACCAGGUCUCAGCUGCUCCUCCACCAAACUACGGUCCAGUCCCAAGUGCACCUCCACCAGCAUAUGAGAAUGAAGAUUUACAGACCAGAAGAUGAACUAGAUCUCGGACACAAAUGGGGAUAUUUGAUGUUUACACAAUGGAUUAUAGCGAAUGGUANAAGGGAAUUUUGUCACUUAAAAAUUGUGAUAAAAACCAGUGAUAAAGUCAUAUUUAAUGUAUACUGUUUAAAGAUACUUGGAAAAAAACUAAAUUAGUUAGUUCUGUCCUCUGUAAUGUGCCUUAGAUGUAACAAACGUGGAUGAGAAACAUGCAUGAGAAGGUUUUUUAAUUUUUUUAUUAUGUUUUUUCCCGCCAAAAUGUUUUAAUUUUAACAUAUGUAUAUAUUAACAAUGUAAAAUGUUUAUUAUUAUUUUUUUUAACAAACCUUCAGUAGGCACCAUGGAAAUUUCACCUGAUUAAUUCAGCUCAGUAUUUACAGACUGACAUUUAAAAUCCUGUCAAAAAGUGUUUUUAUUUUUUUACCUCUAAAAUGAUAAUCUCUUGAAAACAGACUUAACAGGUUUCACAUUUUAUAUCCAAGUUUGGCUUUGAUCUGUCAUUCCACAUACUAAAGUGAUGUUUCCAGCUCAUGACAACACAAAUCAUUUUAAAUACAGCAUGGCUUGUUUAAAAAUAUAAAAUAUAUAUUAGAUGAUUAUCUGAUUGCAAAGGAGAGUCAUUCAAAAAUGUAUCCAAACUUUAUCUUCACAACCAGUGUUAUUUAUUAUUUUACAUUAACUGAGACACUAUUAUAGCUUUUGUUAAUAUUUUGAAUUUCAUUUUGUUAUAUUUUUUGUUUUUAUUUUCAUUUUAAUUAAAGUUUUUUUUUUUUUUUUUGGUCAGUCGCGACAUUCCGAGGUAUGUUAUGUAAGGGAUAAUGUACAUCCAGCCGGUUGUUCUCGCAGAAUAAACCCCGACAGGGUGAUCA